GAUCCUGGCUCAGAUUGAACGCUGGCGGCAGGCUUAACACAUGCAAGUCGAACGGUAACAUAAAGGAGCUUGCUUCUUUGAUGACGAGUGGCGGACGGGUGAGUAAUGCUUGGGAAUCUAGCUUAUGGAGGGGGAUAACUACGGGAAACUGUAGCUAAUACCGCGUAGAAUCGGGAGAUGAAAGUGUGGGACCUUCGGGCCACAUGCCAUAGGAUGAGCCCAAGUGGGAUUAGGUAGUUGGGUG
rnacentral:rRNA from 1 species